GCGGGCGAGUUGCGGCCGCAGCGCGGGCUGCCCGGAGCCUGUCAUUUGGCUGAGGCUAACAGGAGGUGACUGGGCAAAGCCAGUGCACCUGAGGGUGGGCUGGGUCACAGGUCAGUGGAAAUGGCUCGUAUAGAAAGUGGCGGCCGUCGGUGCACGUCUACACGUGUCUAUGGGCGCAAAGGGCCUUGGUGGAGCCUAGGUGCCCCUUAUCAGAGGCACCACCUGGAAGAGAAGCUUCUUUUGGAAACAGACUCUGAGAGCUGCCGAGCUGAGGCUGCGAUGAUGUGCAAAUAAUACGUAUCAUAAAUACAGCGCCAGCCGAGACGGGGGGAGUUGGAGACCCAGGAAUGUCGAGGCAGGCAACGAGAUGUCACCUUGGCAGAGGUGGGCAUCGUCCUGUGUUCAUGCCCUGGGGCAUCACUGCCGUCCUUCCUCUGUGCUAGGACCCUGAGGACACUUGGCUGCCUGCUGGUCAUGAGCUGGAAUCUGUUCGGAUGCACGAAUUUCACCAGAGGAAGGAGAGGUACCACAUAUCAGAAGGAGUGCGUUUGAACCACGUGUGUUCCUCAUGGAGUGUGACAGCUCAAGGGAAAAGUCUGGGCAAAAUUCCCAUGGAUUUCCCCACAUCCAGGUUUUCACUGCUGGUUGUCACUGUGAUUAGUUCAAGGUGUAAACAGACAUGCCCUCUGCAAGCAGCUGUGCUGAAAGAAGAGGUUGCCACCUAACCCCAGACCUCCCACUUGUACUUUAACAGCCUCUGUUGCAAAACGCAGCCUCUGCCCGGUGGGCUCAGCUGCAGGAAGCUGAGCAGGGAGGUAAAGCUGGCUCCCAGAAUGCUGUGAAGCCUUUGGAUGAACCGGUCAUAUAGUUGAGUCAGGAGCGUGUCACUGAGCUGUGGUCACCCUGUCACGUACAAGCUACAGCAGAAACAGCACUGAAGAGGAGAAGAGGCUGUGCUGGUUACAGACAUGCUAAUUUUUGGUAUGAAGAGGCCAGAUCUUUGGAAGUAUGUAAUAUGCUACACCCAAACUAGCCCUAGGGGCUGGUAUAAGGGAACGGGUGCAGACCUGAUUCCAGUUACUGGUACCACUGGGAGAGGUCAGCACCAACUUCAGCCCGAGCCAUCCAGUCCUUCAGCAAGCGCUGAGCAAUGGUGUUUGUCCUUGGUGUGAAGAAGCCCGAGUGUGGUAAAGAAGACUUUUGAAGGCUGCAGACAUCCCUUCUGUAUUUGGGUUGUUAAGCUGGAGACUUCACAUUCACAGACUUUUCUCUUAUCCCAGAGAUGUCUUGAUCUUCUCUAUAUGCCAGCUCAAUGCAAGGGCUGCAUCAGUCAUCAGUGCUUUAUGCCAAAUAACCAGACCUGGUUUAGAGUCAGCGCUCACGCUCCACAAAACCAGAGCAAAAUCCAUCCUGAAUGCCACGUCUUUCCUGCAGUUUGCCACUUCAAGACAUUCCACUUGGAGACAGGGGUCCUCUUCAUUUGCCAAGGCCUUGCUGUCGGGAAGGAGGAAGGUACUGCCUUGGGCGAACCAUGUGGGAAAGCAGAGCCAAGUGGAGUAAGGGUCAGGUGCCCUCACCAAAUGAAGGAGAAAACAAACUAGAGGUGCGGCAAGUGCCAGUCUGAGAACAGGCAGAAAGAAGGAAGACAUGCAGCCUGUAUGGGCAAGGAUGGACCAGGCUGCUGGCAUCUCUGGUGCUAUUCCCUUUUCCCAUUCUGAGUGUGCACGGAGCUGUUCCCAGCCAGUUGGAGCUCUUCCACAAGAUGGUGCCGAGCCACAUCGCUCAUGAGCGGUGUGUAAUUGAAACACGGCACGCAUCCUCCUGGGGAAGGAAGAGUGGCUAAACUUUGUUAUUUUGGUCACAAAAAGCAAGAUGGAAACUUCAUUUCUUGUAAAAAAGAAAAUGAAGCUUUGAACAUGAAAAAAUGUGCAGAUCUUGUAUGCAGCAGCUCAAUUCUGCCUUUGGAGAUAAGUACUAAAUCCCAUUGAUUUCUACAUGCCUGAAGAUGGCUUGCAACAAUCAACCCUAUCAAAAUUGCACUAUACUACAUAUUUAGAUAUGUAUCAGAAAUGCUAAGUCAAGGCUUGAACCAGUGAUGGAGCACCUGGUGGGAAGGCAGAGCCAACCCAGGGGAGCUCAGGUGCAUGCAAUGUACCUGAGUGACCAGAAGGGGUGGAGCCAGGAUCCACCUCUUCCCAGACCUCACUGAAGGGCUGCAGUGGGGGAUAAGUGUAUCUUGUUGGAGGUCUGUGUGUUCCUGUGGUCUUCUGAAGGUAAGCAAAUUCUUUCCUUUAUUUCUAUGUCCAAAGCUGUUGCAUUUGGGCAUAUCCUUACUGCAGCCUGGGACUUUGCUACUGUGCUGUCAUUGUUGCACUUUCCAUUGCAUUAUGGCAUUACAAGGUAUGCUGCAUUUCUAACUGCUGGUUUUGCUGCCAGAAGUUAUGAGGGUUUUUUUCCUCUUUGCAUUAAAAUAUAGCAAAUAGUAGGAGCUGAGGGGAAUGAUGGAGAAUUAUAAGGGUUUACAUGUUCAGUUCAGCUGUUUCAGUCUCCUUUUCUCUUACCCAUUCUCCUUCCUCAGUACUUCUCUCGCUGUGAUGGCAAGGCAGCCUUCCAGCCCCUAUCUGAUAAAAGCAGGCUUCCCAGCCUAUAUUUCUCCAUGCUGGGAGUUGUUUCAGGGUGGGCCAAUGGUGCAAUCCCACGUGCACCCUACUGGCUGUUGUUUUCAUGAUGGAUGCGUAUAUGAAACAAGGCCCUCAUCCAAAGCCUUUCUGAUGCUGGGAGGUUCCUCCUACACUGCUCAGGGCAGGCUGUACACAAGUAAAGCUAGGGGGAUUUUAGUGGCCAAAUUAUCAGGAUUCAAUUUUUCCAAGUUUCCAGCAGUUUUCUAACAAAAGUGAACGAGAGGUGGCUUCUGCUUGCUGUCCAUUUAUAGGGGCAGUAUUCAUUUGGCAAUGUUAUGGGCAGGCAGCCCUGCUUCCCAAGAAUUGGGACCAGGCUGCCUCACCACCAGCUCCCCAAAACUAGGGGAGAACACUCAGCCCUCUCCCUUUAUCCUGCUGACUCCCUCGCUUUUCUCCUCCCCGUGCAGCAGGGAUAGCUGAGGGAGCCUGUCAUCCUUUUAUUGCUGUUUCUAAUAAACACAUAUGGUGAUGCAUAUAACAAUAACAACAGCAAGUUGCUAUUGUUCCGCACACAGCCAUAUGUGGGCUGUCCAGCGGCUCAGCGCAGCGCUGCCACGAGCAGCUGCGUCGUGAGCGCUCAGGAAUGUCGAUAGCCCAAAGAGAAAGGAAUGGCUGUAAGGACUCUGAGCCUCACAAAUAGUGCCUCUGCUUCACAUGCUGCUGUUGCUAAAACGGCUUCUUGAGCGUUGUGUGCUGAAAGUGUAGACACGGCGUUAGUCACCACAGGAGCUUAUAAGGUGAUUAAAUUGUUAACAGUGGGGAUGCGGAGGCUUAAGGGCUAGCUGGGACCCUGUUGAAGCAAGCUUUGCAAGCCAGAAUGAAUGCGUACAUAUGAAAUACGUGUAUGUGUAUAUAUAUAUUUAUACACAUAAAUAUGAACAUAUAUGUGGGGGGACAGGGGCACGUACAUUUAUACUGUUAGUACUUCUUUUUGACAUCAGAAACUCAGGAAUGAGCACAUCCAGUACCUCACAUAAUACAAACUCCAGAGCCCAGCACCAGUCCCUAUGUAUUGUAUCCCAUUCUGCAAGGCAGAAAGGCACACAGUUUACCAAUGCUUUGUUGCCCAUCAGCUCUCUUUCCCUGCAGGGGCAGCCUGUGAUGGUUGCAAUGCUUCGUCUACGUUGGUGUUUCUUACACUUUUUCAGGUGCUUCUUUUCCCAAUGCCAUAUUAUGCAGUGACCUGACUAAAAAACAAACAGCCCAUCUGUACUUCUUCAUCCUUUCAUGAGCGUGCUUGUAGGAGAGCAAGACUGCAACUGAGAGAAAAGAGAAAUAAAGAUUAAAAGCAGGCGACCUUUUUCAAAUUUGGACAAACACCGUCAGGCAGCCAUAUCUUUAUUUAAGCACUUGAAUAAUUUAACUGAUUUUUAAUUUUUUUUUGUGUGUGAGAUGCUGAGUACCUACAGUAAAUAAGAGGAGAGAGAGAAAAUUGUAAAGGAUCCAAAAAAUCAACUACUUGCAUAUGUCUCUGAGCGUGGAGCUUGGAAGUCAUAUUUGAAUAUCAAAGUGUGGAUGGUUUUGGUCGAAGUUUCUGAUGCAGGGCAGGAAGUCCUCAGUACUGCCCUCCUUUUGCUCCUCGCACGCACGUACUCCUGCACAUGAGUUACCUGUAUAAUGGGUUGAUUUCAGAGCCAGGGGGAGGGCUCCUGGCUUACCAGGAAGGGUGGCAUCUGCAGUCACAGAGCUCUGCACCAAUUCUAGCCACUGGGAACCAUGAAUGUUUUUACCAAGUCCAUGAAACCACAAACAUUUACACGCUCAAACAUCCCAACAAGAAGCACAACUUUUUAGCAUCUGCAUGACAUACAUUUCAAUAUUGUACACAGUAGCCCAAAAGAAAGGAUAAUGAUAACGUGACUUAUAUUUACUCCAGCUUAGUCAGUUUUCUCCAAUGGGUAAAGCCGAAAUGCCUGUGGCAAUCUUCCCUGGAGUAACAAAGGGACAGACUUCACCCCUUGGUAGACGUGUAUGGCUCUUAUUUCCUUCAGAGAGUGGUGGCAGGACUUCAAAAACAGCCUAUGCCGAGGCCUGAUUCUCAGAGGUCCCACACAUCCCUGGUUCUUGUUGGCUUGUAAGCGAUGUGUAGCCUGAGGUUUUGUUCAUCUUUCAGAUGAAGCUUUCAAAACUCAUGAUGUCUCAGCAUGAGUCAGUGUUUUAUGUAACCCCAGCUUGCAUUCCUCUAAACCCCUCCUGAGCUCAGAGCACUCCAGCAGCCAACCUCAAAUUCUUCUUCCUUGCAGCUGACAGCAUCAUUCCCUGAUCGGCAGCACGAGAGGCUCCUCAAGCCCUUCCCAAGGUUUUCUGGAGCUUUAGCACGGCUCUCCCAGACACUGGGCACCUGGACCACUGCAGGGAGCAAGGCUGGGGAAAAGCUGGGCUGGAGGAGGGAGUUCCGGAUGGGCCACCCCAAUGGGAAGAUGGUGACUUUCCUGUACUCGCAGCAGAAAUGACCAUUUCCAGAUUUGUUAAUCUGUUUUUGUUCUCUUCCCUGCAAUGAGAUCAGUUUUUUCCGUGUUUCUGGAGGAGAAACAAAAAACAAAAGAAGCCCUCACAUUUUUAAUGGAAAUGUGGUAGAAAUGGAAGACAAGUGAGUCGCACUCACUUUUGGUGGAGCACCUUGUGUGGCAGCUUUCCUUCAAGACCCAGCUCACCAUGCUGAAGGUGGACACCCAAACAAGCUUCGGGGGUGGCCUAGUAUACCCUGAUUAUUUUUCACUGCAAAGAAGAGCAGACAAAACACCAAGAGAAAGCAGGAAGCUAAACCCCCUUCUUUCUUCCAUCCUGGUUGAUUUGCAGUUUAGCAGUGGGACAUCUUGACCUGUGACUGUGAUUUUGUACUAGUUACGAUGUGUUAUAACCUAAAACCUAAAAAGGGUGGUCAAGCACUAGAACAGGUUGCCCCUGGGACGUGAUGGAAGCCCUGUCCUUGGAAAUACUCAAGGUCAGGCUGGACAGGGCUCUGAGCACCUGAUCUAGCUGCAGAUGUACCUGUUCAUUGCAGGGUGGUUGGACCAGAUGAUCUUUAAGGGUUCCUUCCAACAAAUGAUUCUAUGUUUCUAUGAAAACGGAUGUCUUUCUCCCCCCACCCCCAGAAAAUAAAACACAAGUUGACUGGGACGAUGGCUUUUGGACUUUGAGUUGGAGACAUUGCUGUAUUGGAAAUUUUUAACAAUGUGGGAGAGUAGAACAUGAGGAAGCAUUCGUUGUUUGAUGCAGUCUGUGAGGCAUGGCUGGGAAGGAUACAGAGGCCAGGGGAGUGGCCAAGGCACCUCCACUGAGCAACUGCAGUAUUUCAUGGGCUGCCCCUACUUCCUGUGUUCAAAUAGAGUCAGCACGUCCAAGAUGACCAAAAAAAAAAAAGCUUAGAAGUACAUUUUGGGAUACUUUUCAGGUGGUGUUGUCUUUUUUCUUUGUUCAAAUGGGUUAUCACUUGCUAUGUGGAUGUGUGUGUGCCAUCACUACCUCAAAUUCUAUCCCCACCAGCCCACACAAAUGCAGCCCCCUGGCACCUGACCAAACCGUCAUUGGAUGCCCUGGGUGCUGCAAGUGCUGGCCCUGCUCACAUCUCAGUUCUGGAAACCCACUUGCAGUGAAGUUGUUCUCGCCCUCAUUAGAAGUCACCUUACUGAGAUCUCUGUUGGCUGCAAAGCCAGUUCUGGGAGUCAGGAGGAGCUGGUGGGCUCUGCAGUUCAGAUGCAGCUCUUGCUUUCAGUGGAAGCGUUGUCAUUAGUUAUUUCCAAGUACAUACAUUUUUAAAUAUGUACGGUCGCAGCCAAGUUUCUUAACUGUGAUUAUUGUAGAAAGUGAAGAGCAUGAACCGCAUCGCUGGGAUUCAGCUGCUGCUCGUUGACUACCAAAAGAUCCUGCACCAAUCUGGAGGUGUGAGCACCUCCAUUCCUCUGGGAAGGCGCUGUCUCCAUGCGUUUUUCGCUACUCUAUCAGCUGGCGCUAAUAAAAGCUGUAACCUCUCUAUA